rnacentral:misc_RNA from 1 species
UCCCAUCAUACCCUUUUGGAGCCAAAUUUGGACAGUUAGUACACACUGGAUCAAUGCUGAUAUCUUCUCUGGUAUUCUCUUCACAUUUAUCAGAAGAACAAUCUUGGGGUGUUAGACCAAAACUUGAACUACGAGCAGCCCUAUCAGCACUCGUUCCUUCAGCAGAAGGAUUGGCAGCAAGUUCAGAGAGGUAAAGAAAGUCAUUGGCUAUGGGAUGUCCUGUAUAUUGCAAAUGCACACGUAUUUGAUGAGUUCGGCCAGUGAUUGGUUUACACAAAACAAUGCUGUGAGUUCC